rnacentral:sRNA from 1 species
UGUUUUCCAGCAUCGUACAGAAUGUUAUAUUUCUUCUUUUUAAUUAUCAUCAUACCUGCACUAGCUCUAUUAUUAUGUUUUUGGAGCAAACGUCGAAAAACGCAAGCAAAAGUAGGCAAGACUUUCUCGCAUUCGUCCAGUCCAGACACCACUACGACACGCGAAACAACAGCAGCGACCCACAUGACUUCAAGCAAUGUGAACACAGAGGACUUAACAGACUCAGCUAAUACGAGCUCAAUACUUGGGCAUCAGACAACAGAGACGAGCUAACGAAGUCAGGAUCAGAUGACAUGAGUUAAAUGACGUCAGCGGCAGAUAUCAGAUCACAUGAGAUAAUGAGCAUCAGAGACAAAUGGCUUGAGCAAAUGACGUCAGAUCAAAUGAGAUGAUGACGUCAACAGCAGACGGACAGCUGAAUAUGUAGACCGUUCUUUGCCAUGCGUAAAAUUAUAGAAUAGUCGAUUUUAUGUAAAACUUUGUAACCUGGAAAUAAUGUUACAAAAAAAAAA